UUUUUUUUUUUUUUUUUUGAUAACAACUUUUGAUGGAUUUUUCUGCUAGGGAAUUGGCCGGCUGCUUCCUCUCAUGCUAGGGUGAGAUUCUAUUUAUCCCUCUGGUAAAUCUUUAAUAAUGAUGCCUUAUUCUUCAGCCAGCCUCCCAAAAACAUGGCCUUCAAAUACCUUUAUCCCCUCAACAUCUCAUCUUUUCCUUUUCAUCUUUGAGUUUUCACCUUAAUUUUCAUUCUGUGAAGACAACUUGGUUUACCUAUAAGCUAAUAUUUCUACCUUCAGACAGAUGAUCAGAAAGAACACAAAUGCUAUUUUUGACAAUUUAAGUGGUGAGAAACACUCCCAUGUUAUCUAAGCAGCUGCUAUGAGAUCCUGUUGUUUCCAUUUCAAUAAGGUAUCAGGUGUAUUGUUAAGCAGAUAGAACAAAUUUGGGAGGGUGCCAAUUGGUUGUAUGUGACCAGUGUAUGAAAAUAUGAGGUAAAACAUUUAGGAGUAAUUUAGCAGCCCUAUGGCUGUAGUUCUCAAAGUGUGGUUGUCCAGACCCAUUCAUUUCAAAGUCAUUGUCUUGGAACCUGUGGCAAAAGCAAAUUGUCAGGCUCCAUCCAAGACCCAGUGAAAAUCCAACUCUGGAGGAAAAGCCCAGUAGUAAGUACUUCCACUUACCUGGUUUAACAAGCCUGCAAGGUGCUUGUGCUAAGGACUAGAGUUUGAGAACCACUGCCUAAGGGAUGAGGCAAAAUAGGACCUUGAUUAACUCAUGGUGAUGAUGCUCAGUGAAGCCUGCCUUAUGCUAGAUUUUCAUAUAUCUGCUAGAAAAUGUGAAAGAAGGUCAGUGUGAAUCAGUCUUCUUUUUUCACUGCAUAGUAAGAUGUUGGGAGUUUUCUAGCUGGUAGGAAUUUUCCUCCAUCAUAGAAAUAGUUGCUAUAAGAAAUAGCCACAAUAUAGCUAUUUGAGGUUGAAUACACUAGGAGUAUCAGUCUCACAGUCCAAAGGAGAUUUAAAUAUGUCCAUAAAAAAUAAGGAUGAGUAGGGAGUUCCCAUCAUGGCUCAGUGGAAACGAAUCUGAGUAGUAUCCAUGAGGAGGUGAGUUCAAUCCCCGGCUUCCCUCAGUGGGUUGGGGAUCUGGUGUUGCUGUGAGCCACUCAGAUCCUGCAUUGCUGUGGCUGUGUUGUAGGCUGGCAGGUGUAACUAGAUUGGACCCUAGCCUAGGAACUUCCAUGUGCUGUGGGUGCAGCCCUAAAAAGCAGAAAAUAAAAAAUGAAAAACAAAAACAACAAAAAAGAAUUGGUAAGCAAAGGACUAUUUUAUAGUGAAUCCUGGAAGUGCUGUACAUCACUUCUGAUCACAUUUCAUUGAGUAGAACUACAUCACAUGGUUACACUGCUAUGCAAUGAACAUUCAGAAAUGGGGGCUGCCUGUUUUCCAGGAAAAGGAUGAAGUACAUUUUGGUAAAUAACAGUCUCUUGCCACAAAUACCUGUUUUCCACGUAUCUCCUUUGAUGUUCUCAUUCAAAGGAGAACUUUAAUUUUCAAGUUAUGAUAUUACAUAAGAAGUCUAGGAAAAAUAUUUCUCAUUCUUUUAUCCCCAUAAUUUUGCAUGUGACUUAAAGGCUGUGACGUUCUCUUACAGAAAUGCAGAAGUGACUAUCAAAAGCAGGACAUGAGUCACUGAGUUGUUCAUUGGCUCUUUUUAUUGUAAUUGGGGCUCCUGGUACCUGGUCCCUAUUAUCUGAACACUGAAUGGACUUGGUUAUGUUUUUGAACUUCUAGGUAUCUGGGGCAACAGUACACAAACCUCAAUUUCUUUUUUCUUUUUCUUUUUAAGGCUGUAUCUGUGUUGUAUGGAAGUUCCUGAGCUAGGGGUUGAGUCAGAACUACAGCUGCCAGCCUAUGCCAUAGCCAUGGCAGUGCUAGAUCUGAGCCUCAUCUGCGACCUACACUGCAGCUUGCAGCAACACUGGAUCCUUAAGCCACUGAGCAAGGCCAGGGAUUGAACCUGCCUCCUCAUGGAUACUAAGAACCCUCAUGGGUUCUUAACCUGUGAGCCACAGUGGGAACUCCUCAAAAUUUUUUAAAUUGAAAAAUUGAAAUAGGAGUCAGGAGACCUGGGGACAUUUGUGCUUAUCAAAAAGCUACCUAUUUCUUCUGAUGGAAAACCCCUUUCUCUAUAAGAUGGUAGAGUUAUACUAGAUGAUUCUGGGAUGCUUUCCCCCAGUGCUGAAAUGUUAAUGAGAGCAACUGUGUUUUCUGUGCCUGAAAUUAUUUGUCAACAAACACUUACUGGGUGCCAACUAUGUCCAAGACAUUGCACUCAGUGUAAUGUCAAAACACUGAACUAAAUCCCUUUCCUCAAGGAGCCCAUAGUCUGUGGGUAAAGGAGAUAAGUUAUAAUAAUUAUUAAGAAAAUUAUUAAGUGCUUUGAUAUUUAAAUUGAGCCAUACAUUUAAUUUUUUGUUUGAUUUUCUUUUUUUAUAGUUCUAUGAUAUUUUAUUUUUAAAAUGAUUUUUAUUUUUUCCAUUAUAUUUGGUUUAUAGUGACCCAUACAUUUAAAGCCACUGAUUUAGUAAAAUAAAAAAAAAUCAGAAUAUUGAAGGAAUUGGUUUCCUUUAAUGAAAAUCUCAGUAAUUUUGUUCUUGUUCAUAUUUCAAAAAUUAUUUUCUUACUAAAAAUAAUUGACUUACAUAAGUCACUAGUGUGUGAGAGACAGUAAUCUAGUGCUUUUUUUCUCAAAACACCAGUAUAUGAAAUAAUAAUUCUUAAACAAUUUCUACAAUUCCAUUAAAAAUAUCAACACUAAGCUAACUUAAAUGAAGCUCAGCUACUCCAUUUGGGUUAAUUUUAACUGGAUACAUGAGAAAAGAAAAUUUGGAAGACACCCAAAUAGGAUUUAUAGAGAUUCAUAUUGUGUCAGAUUUUUCUACUUUAUAUGGAUGUUGAUGUGUUCUUAGAAGAAAUUUAUAACCGCAAUAGAAAACCAAAUGAAUAUUGAUUAUUUUUUAGUUACCAAAACUAAUUGACAUAUAAAGCUUUGUAAAUCCGUUUAGAUGAAGAUGGGUAUAAAUUAAAAACUAAUUAAAGCAGAGGCUUAUAAAGACACCAUUGCCAAUUCAAUGGGUUAUACAUUUUCAUUGUGUAUUAGGAAGCUAUUCUUUGGUAUUGUCACCCAAAAAUUCUGCCAAACAAACAAACAAAUCUUAGACCUAAAAAUUACUUUAGCUGCUAAAAGCCAGUUUAUAUAUGUUGUCUUUUUUCAAAAGUAAAUACAGUUAUUUUAACAACAUAAGCUUAAAAAAAAAUUAGAAGUGCCAUGUGGAGACAACAAGACUGAUCAGCCUGUUAUCAGUAACCUCCAUAGUUACUUUAACAAGCUUUUUAUCUUUGAAGACAGUAAACAUCUGGGAUCUUGACUGGUGACACCUAUUAGUUACAGUGGUUUCCUUUUACCUUUCGAAGCGUUCUGAUAGUUAAACCUCCAGGAACCCCACAAAACUGAGCCCUUAAUUGACCAAAUGAAUGGCUGUUGCUUUUUUUCAGUCUAAAUUGAAAAGUAUGCCCCUGUGAAAUGAAACAAUGUACAGUGGAAAAUAUAUUCUAGCUCUAGCUCCACUGGUAACCAUCAGUGUGACCUUAGAUUCUCUCCCCAGCUCAUUCCCCAAACAGCUACCAAAGUGUUUUCUAAAACUCACAUCCAUCCAUUUCACCUUCUUUUACAAAAUUCCUCAGUAGGUGGGAGGAUAAAGUCAGCACUCUCAGGUUUGACAAGCAGUGCCCCUUCCCUUCCAACCUUCUUCUCUUUAAACUACACUUUCUUACACCUCUUUUCUACACUCCUUAAACUAUAGUGUUAAUGAGGGUCUCCCAUGCCAAUGACAUUUCCUCUAUCAUUUCAUCUUGAAGUCCUUAUAUCCUCACCUGGUUUUGGUGGCAAUCUUAUUAUGUCUUCAAGACUUAAUAGUACAGCCAGCCUCCAGGUAGACUCUAAGGCCAACAGAUAGUUUUAGGCAUUAAUUCAGGAAACAUUUGUUGAGCUGCAGCCAUCUGACAGGACUUUUCCUGUACUUAGGGUAUUCGGUAGUUAAAGAGGCUCCUGUUUCCUUUAUGUAACUCACCAUAAAAGGUAGAGAGAGGCAAAGAAGUAAGAAAAUAUGUAAAUAUAAUUUCAGACAAAUAGUUACAAGAAAAUCAAAUAAGAUGACAAGUGUUGCCACAGGAUUCUGCCAGUGUUCUGUUAGGCUCCUCACAUUGAGCUUUCCUGGAAUUCAACCAUCCUGUGCUAUUCACCUUGGCCUCCACAUUCUCCCAGUCCCAAUUCCAACAUGGUGUCCAACCCAUUGGCCACACUAAAUGUAUAUGGGUAUAUAAAUGAAUGAAUGUUAAUAUCUUCAAUUAGGCUAGAGUUUCUUCAUCCAAAAUAUGAAAGGAUUGAAGAAAUGCGUACCUCUAGCCUACCAUCUUUGGGACUUUAGAAGUAGAUAAUCUACAUUAUCUGAUGUUUUAUUCAUUUAUGAUUUUCAAAUGAGUUGAUUAUUUUGAUUAUUUAUUGCAGAGUCACAACUAAAGUUAACAUGAUCUUAAAGACACCUUUUUAGCUGCCAUCUUGUUUGAAAAAAUAUCAGCAGUUGAUAUUUUCUAGAAUUUUACUGAGUCUCUUCCCCACAUUUGCUGCUGGAGCCUUAUGAAAUCUAUUUGUUGAAGAUUUUUGAAUGCUCUAUGAUGCUAUUUUUUCAUAUACUAAAUGAACUGGAAAUUACAAUUUAUAUUCAAUGGCAGUAUUGAAACUUUAACAUAUUUAAAUUAAAAUGAUUUACAUGCACUUUAAAACCAAGUUUAAUUAAAAUGAAAUAACUGAGUAAUGUUACUUUCCUAAAAAUGCAUUAAAUCAUGCUCUUUCAUUAAAAUAUUUUAUACAUUUUGAAUACAAAAUGGAAAACAGAAGGAAAGAGAUAAUAAAAUGACAGCAUAAAUUAAUUAACUGAAAACAGAAAAAUAAUAUAGAAAAUCUUUGGAUAAAAUCAACAUAAUGGACCAAUGUCUGGAAAUUUUAAUUAAAAGUAGAAAACAAAAUAUGCAACAUUAUGAAUGGUUAAGGGCUACAACUGUUGAUAGAGAUGAGAUUAAAAGCAAAGUAAAAUUUGCUUUGUGAAGCCCAUUUGGAUACAUUUCAAACUCUUAUAACUUGGAUGAAUUAUCAGGAAAUUAUAAUUGUCAAAAUUCACUGAAAGAUUAAACUGAUAAAUACUGAAAAAGUAAGAAAAUACCCAAGAAUCCCUUCUUACAAUGUUCUUGCUCUACAUGGUUUUAUAGGUAGCUUAUUUUAAAAUGCUAAGGUAAAGUUAAUUCUCAUAUUAACUUUUUAAAAACCCAGAACAGUAAAAUAUUCUUGGUGAAACAAAUACCUCUACUUAUUCUUAUGGAGUGACAUAAUCAUGAUACCAUCAGGAUUCCAAAGCUUUACAAAACAGCCAAAAAAAGUCUACAAAAUUAUAAAAAUUAUAAAUAAACAAUAAAUCAAAUUUUUCAGUAUGUAAAUAGAAUACAUAAUUAGAAGUGUUUAUUCUAGGGAUGCAUAAUUUAAUAUAGAAACAAUGAAAUCUUACUGUUGGUUAAAGGAUAAAACUACUUGCCUCACUGAAUCUCAAAAUGUUAUUUGAUGUUAUUUAAAACAUGUUAUUGUUGAACUCCUAAUAUUUUCUCACAAGUUAAGGAAAAUCAAUGAGUAACAUCACUCUUUACAAUGAAAAACCUAGAAACAUUUUUAUUAAGUAAGAAACAAGGUGGGGGUUUCUCUUAUGGCAAAGUGAGUUAAGGAUCCAGCAUUGUCACUGUGGUGGCUUGGUUUGCUUCUAUGGUGCAUGUUUGAUCUCUGGCCUGUAAAAUUCCACAUGCUGUGGGGGAGGGGAGGGAGACAAAACAGGUGAAAAUAUUUGCCCUGAGAUCUUGUUUGGUGCAUUCCUGGAAAAUUUAGCUAAUAAGAUAGGGAGGCUAGGGCCACUGAAAAAGGGGAGACAUAAUGAUCUCUCUUUAUGAAAAGGAUGACUAUCUACAUAGAAAACCUAAGAGCCUACGUGUUAACAACUACAGAAAAAUAUUGCUUAGAAUUAAUAAUAGUUUUUUAAGCUACUUGGCUAUUUAUUUAAAAUGCUUAAAAGUCUGUACUUUUUCUGCAUAGCAGAAAAACUCUGGUAAUAUAUACAGAGAAAAAAGAAAACAUGUUUUUGACUAUGGCAACAGACUGUAGUGAGGAUUAGCAUUACUUAUGUGAAUUACAAACUGUAGUGUAAGGCAUAGCUCUUCAUUUUUAUAACUACAUACAAGUCAUUGUUCCAUGAAUAUUAUACAUGUGUCAGUUCUUUCCAACUGAUGUUGCAAAUCCUAUUUCUUUUCUGACCAAAUUUACAAAUAAUCACUGUAACUUUCCAUAAUUAUGCUAAAUUAAGUGGAUGGGUAAGGAUAAUAAAAGAUAAUAGCUAACACCCAGAUACUUAACAUGUCAUGGGACAGGUGAUCUUCUAAGCUUUACAUGCAUUAACUCAUUUACUCCUCACAUAAGAUCCAUGGAUGCUUUUGUUGAUCCUCAUUUGUAGUUGAGGAAACCGAACAUUCUAUGAUUUCUCCAAGAUUACUUAAAAUGGCAUUAUGAAUCCAUGGGGAAAGGAAAGACCAUUCAAAAUGAGCUAAGUCAUUCAAGGAUUGUUGGGUGACUGCUUGAAAAAUUGAACUUAGUUCCUCAUUUUACAGCAGACUAAUUUCAAAUGACCUAGGAAUAUAAAUACUAAAAAAAUGAUGGGAAAAUAGUGGCUUUUGUGACAUGGGAAUAUUUCCAAGGCAAUAAAAAAUAGGGGAAUAAGUU
rnacentral:lncRNA from 1 species